UACGAAGGGGACUAGCGUUGUUCGGAAUCACUGGGCGUAAAGCGCACGUAGGCGGAUUUGUAAGUCAGGGGUGAAAUCCUGGAGCUCAACUCCAGAACUGCCUUUGAUACUGGAGAGCUUGAGUCCGGGAGAGGUGAGUGGAACUCCGAGUGUAGAGGUGAAAUUCGUAGAUAUUCGCAAGAACACCAGUGGCGAAGGCGGCUCACUGGCCCGAUACUGACGCUGAGGCACGAAAGCGUGGGGAGCAAACAGG
rnacentral:rRNA from 1 species